CGCGGUGUGCCCGAGAGGCCAGGGAGCAGCCUGCAAAGCUGCUGACGCGGGUUCGAAUCCCGCCACCGCGUCCA
rnacentral:tRNA from 1 species